rnacentral:lncRNA from 1 species
UCAUUGGCCAUGUCGACUCUGGGAAGUCGACCACGACAGGUCACUUGAUCUACAAGCUUGGUGGUAUUGACAAGCGUGUUAUUGAGAGGUUCGAGAAGGAGGCUGCUGAGAUGAACAAGAGGUCAUUCAAGUAUGCCUGGGUGUUGGACAAGCUCAAGGCUGAGCGUGAACGUGGUAUUACCAUUGACAUUGCCCUGUGGAAGUUCGAGACCACCAAGUACUACUGCACUGUCAUUGAUGCUCCUGGACAUCGUGACUUUAUCAAGAACAUGAUUACUGGAACCUCACAGGCUGACUGUGCCAUUCUCAUCAUUGACUCUACCACCGGAGGUUUUGAAGCCGGUAUUUCCAAGGAUGGUCAGACCCGUGAGCAUGCUUUGCUUGCUUUUACUCUUGGCGUCAGGCAAAUGAUUUGCUGCUGCAACAAGGUGAGCCUUAUAUAUCUUGUGUCGAUUGUAUUUCAAAUUUUAUACGGUGUAUUGGUAUUUCAAUGUUUUUAUUUUGCAAUUAUAUAUCUAAUUUUGUACGGUGAUGAUAUUUCAAUUGGUAUUGGGUGUCAGCUGUUAUUGCUGUGAGUUCACAAGCAGUUUUAACUCACGUCACACAAUGUUAAUUAUUGUGUACAGAUGGAUGCCACCACUCCCAAGUACUCAAGGGCAAGGUAUGAUGAAAUUGUGAAGGAAGUGUCGUCCUAUCUCAAGAAGGUUGGCUACAACCCAGAUAAGAUCCCCUUUGUCCCCAUUUCUGGGUUCGAGGGUGACAACAUGAUUGAGAGGUCCACCAACCUUGACUGGUACAAGGGUCCCACCCUUCUUGAGGCUCUUGACCAGAUCAACGAGCCCAAGAGGCCCUCAGACAAGCCCCUCCGGCUUCCACUUCAGGAUGUGUACAAGAUUGGUGGUAUCGGUACCGUUCCUGUUGGACGUGUUGAGACUGGUGUCAUUAAGCCUGGUAUGGUUGUGACUUUUGGCCCAACUGGUCUGACUACUGAGGUCAAGUCUGUUGAGAUGCACCACGAAGCUAUGCAGGAGGCCCUUCCAGGUGAUAAUGUUGGAUUCAACGUUAAGAAUGUUGCUGUCAAGGAUCUCAAGCGUGGGUACGUUGCUUCCAACUCCAAGGAUGAUCCCGCAAAGGAGGCUGCCAACUUUAUCGCUCAGGUCAUCAUCAUGAACCACCCCGGCCAGAUUGGACAGGGAUAUGCUCCAGUUCUCGACUGUCACACCUCCCACAUUGCCGUCAAGUUUGCUGAGCUCGUUACAAAGAUCGACAGGCGAUCUGGCAAGGAGCUUGAGAAGGAGCCCAAGUUUUUGAAGAAUGGUGAUGCUGGAUUUGUGAAGAUGCUUCCCACCAAGCCCAUGGUUGUUGAGACCUUCUCUGAGUACCCACCGCUCGGACGUUUUGCUGUGAGGGACAUGCGCCAGACUGUUGCAGUUGGUGUCAUCAAGAGCGUUGAGAAGAAGGAUCCAACUGGAGCUAAGAUCACCAAGGCCGCAGCUAAGAAGAAGUGAACCGCACUGGUUCAACAGAUUUCCGCAGGCGAAAUCUUCUAUCAUCUUUAUAAUAAUAGUAGUCGUAAAAACUUCUCUAUUAGUAUUUCUUUGGAUUGCUGGUUGUGUAUUUUCGUGUCGGUGUCGUCGUUAGGCAUUCAUUCUCAGAACUGGGUGCUUGACCGGCGGUGGCGCUGCUAGUGUUUUCCUUUUAUGUCCUCUGUUGAGAGUCAAGGUGCUCUGGGUUCUUCCCGGAGCGGCUAAAAGCUUUUGCGACCUGGUUCUUGCUACUCUCGCUAUAAAAACAUAGUUUCUUUUAAAUAUCUUUUACUUCGCAUGUUCGCUUCUUCCAGUUGUUUUUUUAUAUGAAUUUGAAUCAGCUUGUGUUGUGGUAUACUUGUAUGAUCUCUGAUUCCCGAACUUCAAAAUCUCCGGCAAGCUCUGACUGCGGUGGAAGUGGUCGGUCUACGAUGUUUUUAUGUGGAAAUGUUAUAGAAUGUCUUUGUUCUUUGUUUAAGAUCAAUUUACAUGGAACGGUUUUGCUGUGGUUGUGACGGC